AGUGGCGGACGGGUGAGUAACGCGUAAGAAUCUAACUUCAGGACGGGGACAACAGUGGGAAACGACUGCUAAUACCCGAUGUGCCGCGAGGUGAAACCUAAUUGGCCUGAAGAAGAGCUUGCGUCUGAUUAGCUAGUUGGUGGGGUAAGAGCCUACCCAGGCGACGAUCAGUAGCUGGUCUGAGAGGAUGAGCAGCCACACUGGGACUGAGACACGGCCCAGACUCCUACGGGAGGCAGCAGUGGGGAAUUUUCCGCAAUGGGCGAAAGCCUGACGGAGCAACGCCGCGUGAGGGAGGAAGGUCUUUGGAUUGUAAACCUCUUUUCUCAAGGAAGAAGUUCUGACGGUACUUGAGGAAUCAGCCUCGGCUAACUCCGUGCCAGCAGCCGCGGUAAUACAGGGGAGGCAAGCGUUAUCCGGAAUUAUUGGGCGUAAAGCGUCCGCAGGUGGUCAGCCAAGUCUGCCGUCAAAUCAGGUUGCUUAACGACCUAAAGGCGGUGGAAACUGGCAGACUAGAGAGCAGUAGGGGUAGCAGGAAUUCCCAGUGUAGCGGUGAAAUGCGUAGAGAUUGGGAAGAACAUCGGUGGCGAAAGCGUGCUACUGGGCUGUGUCUGACACUCAGGGACGAAAGCUAGGGGAGCGAAAGGGAUUAGAUACCCCUGUAGUCCUAGCCGUAAACGAUGGAUACUAGGCGUGGCUU
rnacentral:rRNA from 1 species